rnacentral:rRNA from 1 species
UACGUAGGGGGGCUAGCGUUGUCCGGAAUCAUUGGGCGUAAAGAGCGUGUAGGCGGUCCGGUAAGUCCGUUGUGAAAGUCAGGGGCUCAACCCUUGAAUGCCGGCGGAUACUGUCGGGCUAGAGUCCGGAAGAGGCAAGUGGAAUUCCCGGUGUAGCGGUGAAAUGCGCAGAUAUCGGGAGGAACACCUAUGGCGAAGGCAGCUUGCUGGGACGGUACUGACGCU